rnacentral:rRNA from 1 species
UACGUAGGGUGCAAGCGUUGUCCGGAAUUAUUGGGCGUAAAGAGCUCGUAGGCGGUCUGUCGCGUCGGCUGUGAAAUCCCGAGGCUCAACCUCGGGUCUGCAGUCGAUACGGGCAAACUAGAGUAUUGCAGGGGAGACUGGAAUUCCUGGUGUAGCGGUGAAAUGCGCAGAUAUCAGGAGGAACACCGGUGGCGAAGGCGGCUUGCUGGGCCAGUUCUGACGCUGAGGAGCGAAAGCGUGGGGGAGCGAACAGG